CGGCGGAGCGGGGCGGACCUGUUGCGCUCGGCGGAGGGGAGCCCCGCUGCCCGCGCCCGAGGAAGAUCCGGUCUCCUGAAGCAAAGUUCUGUGACACUCAGACUCUGGUUACGAUAGCAGUCAGUGCACUACAGAACUUUGUCUCCGGGGGCUGCGGCGGCGGAGCGGCUCGCUCAGGUGGACACGUCACUGCUCCGCCGUGGCAGGCCCGGGGAGCGCCCGGCCCGGCCCCGCGCUCGGAUGAAAGCUGUGCCGCUGCUGCCCCUGGGCCUCCCGCGACCUUCUGUCGUCGGUGUCGGGGAUCGCGAUAGUGCGACGUCUGGGGGUCUGGAGGGUACUGGAGUGCGGUCAGUGCCUGACCUGAGCAUGGGCUUGAACAUGACACCGAACGUGGUGCUGGUGGAACUGAGCCGGGUGUGGGUGUGCUAACCUGCCAGGCACGGCUCCUGGUUGUGCUUUGUUCUGUGUGUGACAGAACCGUAGAUGAACUGAGGGCUGGGGCUGGAGAAAACACUUCAUACUUAAAGCAAAGAAGCUGUGACAUCAUGUUCUAUUGUGACUUCUAUGUAAGUUUGCUGUUUGAAUGCUUUGGUGUGGCCUGGUGGCAAUGAGCUUUCUUUCCUCUUUAGGAACCUUGCAAGUCCCCAGCUGCUGUCAAGUAAUAGUUACCUGAAUCUGAGUCUCUGCUUCUUCAGAAGUUGUGUGAUGUGCCUUGAGCCAGUGCUGCAGUGCUUGGUCCUCACCCCAAAGGGAGGGAGUGCUUUGGAAGGGCCAAUGGAACUCGUGCUUAUUGAUACAGUUCCAGCGUUCUGUACUAGAAACUUGUCACCUGUGUUACGAUUAACAUGGACAUAGGCUUUAAGGGCUGGGAAAGGCCUAGCUUGACUAAAUUCCACCUCAGUUAAGUUGAAGCUUGGCAGCAGUAAAAGAGCAGCCCUUUUCUCUUCAGAAACUUUGUGCAGUUAUUUAAUAUAUAAAUGCAACUGUGGAUCUCUGAGAUGGUGGGCAUCCUCAGCUGGUCAGCUCUGAACAUAGAGUAAUAGGAAAGGCAGGAAUUGCUGAAGAAUGGGUGGAGUAGGUAGCGCCAUUUCUAAAAUAUUAAUCAUUAUGUACAGUAGAGUUAGUGAGUGAGGCUCCUUUCACAGUGGCUGCAUUCUGUGGGAAGUUAGUUAUGCUACUUUGUGUGUGUGUGUAUAUAUAUAUAUAUAUACAUACACACAUAUGUAUGUGUGUGUGCUUGUCUGUGUAUAUAUAUAAACGUUAGGGGGCUCAUAUUCUGUUAGCUCUCUGUAGCUAAUCAUCCCCUUUGGGCUCACUGGAAACUUAAACUAACUUUUCUUUCCUGCCCAUCUGAAUGUGGAAGAUACAGCUAGAUUAUACACUUCAUGGAAUUGAGCUGGAAGCUGAAAUGCUAUUCUAAGUAGAUGUUUUUUAGCUCAAACUGUUUAAUCAGAGGGUAGGUAAAGUGAGGAGCACUUACUGUAUGGCAGCCCACGUGACCAGCUAGGGCUAUAUUUGGAUACUGGAGGUUUAAGGAAUCCUUUUUGCUAACCAUUUUUGGCCAAUUGCCUGCUGCUUUAUGUUGUGCAGUGUGUGACGUCUGCUAAAAAGGACUUGGAAGUGUGGUGUCUGCAACUGUUUAAUCAGUGUGGUUAUAGGGAAACACCUUGUAUUGCUGGGGCUGUAGUCCCACUAUAUUUAAUUUAGGGGUGGUUCCUGCCUAAUAGGAUAUGUAGUGCAAAUUGCAGCUUCCAGUUUUUGUACUACUAAAUAGACUUUCUGAGAGCAGUAGAUCUUAAAAAGAUUUUUCUCAGAUUUGCUGGCUAAAGCUGUGGAUGAUCAUAGAUCUGAAAACCCACAGAAAUGAGCACGUGUGUAUUCCUUCAGGGAAUGUGGCACAUUCAAAUUGUAGCUUAGUUCAGCGUAGCUUCAGCCUGGUUGUAACUUCAGAAUAGGGAUGAAUAACACGCUUGAAUCCAGCAGUGGUGCGAAGAAAGAGUUCAUCGCUUUUGGAGCCUGUUCUCUGCCUGCUUUAGCUCCAUGCUGCUCAAGCUGGGUAGCUGUGACAGUGAGGUGAGUACAGCUUGGCCUCCCAGUGGCCCUUGGCUUGUCCUUGCCGCAUGCCUGUGACACGCAGUGCCUCCUGUCCUACAAGUCCUACUGGAACAGUGACCUUUUGGUGGCACUUCUGCUUUGAUAUGGGAGAUCACGUGCCCUUAAGGAAGGACUAAAGAGCUCUACGCUUCAGGUUUUGUGCUUUAUUCUUGUCUUGAAAUGCGUUGGUCAUAAUGGUCCUCUGGCAGUGUAGGCUUCCUGGCCUUGUUACAACUUUGGCCAUCAGAACCAUGUACCAAAAAGCAAUGUGCUACGUGGUAUGUGCAGAUUUUGUUUUAUGCCAGCUCUUAUGUGAGGCACGUGAAAGAGCUUGAAGUGUGUGGCUGUACCUGGGGCCUUGUGUGGGGUGUAAAGGGUUCUGUCUUAUCCUUUAAGAGUGAUGUUUGUGGGAGAUGAUGUAGGAACAGGAAACAAAACAAGAAAACAACACCCCAUAACUGGUGAUGGUAUUUAAAAUAAAGUCUGAAUGUCAAACUACAUAACUGCAUUGAUAUGACUUAUUUUCCAGUGGCUUUUCAGCCAUUUCUCCGAGGUAACAAAUUGCUAGAGGCAUGUUCUAACCAGCUGCUUUACAUUUUAGUCCUUUUUGAAAACCUGAAGUGUCUGUUUAAUUGUGUCCCUUACUUAAUUGGAAGAGCAGCAAAUGAGCGUGCUGAGUAAAUCACACAAAUUUCCAUCAAGCCCUUCAUUUGAAGGGGCAGAAUCCCAAGAAAUGAUACCAACCCAAGAAAUGAUACCAACCUAUUUAUUAUUUUGGAAGCUGGAGAACAGGAAAGGAGCUUGCUGUCAAAUACUCUGAAAGUGAAAGCUGAAUGCAUCUGCUAUGGCCCAAGGGAAUAUAGACUGAAGGCAAGCUGCACAGCCUGUGUGUACUUAGUCUCAGGAUGCUACUGGGCAUGAUGCAUUGAGGACAAUUCUUGUGACUUCCAGAGAUUACACUUUAUGCUGGUGAAUUUUUAAGCACAAAUAUAACACUUCCAUCUGUAGCCUAAAAAUGCUGUAGAAAGUGGUGAAAAGAAUAAAUUUUGUACAUGUGCUUUCAUUGAACUAAACUGUACUGCUUCACUAAAAACAGAAGUAAACUUGCUGACUUCUAGCAACUGUAUGAUAAACAAUUUAUAAAUAGACCAUAGGGUCCAGUGAAAUACAAACAAAGUAUUGGAAGUCAUGAGCUGACUCCAAAAAGAAGUGACACUGGGAUGUUUAUAUCUGUUGCCUGGGCAGCUAUGUUCAAGAAACAUCUCUGGGUCCAGUCAAACUGAAGCACUGUGGAAGCUCACUCAGAACGGGCUAUGUGACUGUGGCUGUGUUUCAGUGGGUUGUGGAGUUCCAUUUGUUUGGCUUUCAGCAUUAGUGAUGGCCCUUUCUCUGAGUCUUAAGGAAAGCAGGAUGGAAGUGCUCUGCAGGGUACGUGUUACCCACACAAGGCUGUGUGUGCCAGCAUUGUCAGCUGCAGAAUGGGAAGCAGAGCUGUUGCAGCCAUGGAGUACUUCAGUAGUACCUCUUGCCUCAUAGCUGGAGGAGGCCAAACUGCUUCUGGGGCAGUGAGUUGAGAGUGUGUGGGCUCUUGGUGCAAACUGGAACUGCUAUGCAAUCCCAAGCUUAUUUUCUGCUUUAUUUUGGGAGGGAAGUGGCAUUUGCAAAAAAACAAAAAAUCUAUUUUCUUGCUUUCUGCAACAGGCUAGAAAAUCAACUACAUUUAAUUGUGCUUACUGUACUCCAGAAAUAACCUUUUAUGUGAUUGAGCUUUAUUUGUUGAAUUACUGGUGCUGAUGGUAUUGAAAAUAGCUCAGUGCAGCUGAACCUAUAUUUAAGGCACAAGGUGUUGUACUGAAACCUCACUGUAAUUAACUGCAGACUGAGGGAGCUGGAACUUGGCUUCAUAUAGCCAACACAAAAGUAAUUACAUGCUGGAUUAUACCAGCAUAACUUUCACAAGUAAGCAUACAAAGUCCUGUGCUUUAUGAAUAAAAAGCAUUAAGCUGCUGA